CCCGGUUUCUGUUUUUCUCCCGGUGCAGGAAAACAUGAAGAACGGGGAAAGUAGCUGCCGCAUGCCAAUGUGAAACUCCGAGGAGUCUAGCCAUUCUGAUCUGGCCUUCCAGGUCAUUAGGAGGCUCUGCCAUCGUGUGAGGAGGUACUGCCAACAAGAAGGCCCAAUCAAGAUCCUCCCACAACAAGAGCAGAUUGUGAGCGUGGCAAGCUCUAUGCUGAGCACUGGAAGGACAAAGAGAGAUUGGGCACAGACUUCUCACUGAUCCAGGUGAUGAAGAGCUCACAUCUGAGAGGAUGUGACCAUGGAUGACCCACCAGAAUGUCAUGGGAUCCAGCUACAGCCAAGGAAGCACAGAGCACCGUGGGAGCGAUUUAUUGUGCUUGGGGAUGGGGAAGGGGACAUGGGAGGAGCCAUAUUGAGAAAGUAGCAUGGGUACUUGGCUUCACAGAGUGUGGCAGCUUUCAUCAGGAAGUGAUGGUGGGGGAACAGCGUCUCUGGCGGAGGGAAGCAGCAGGUGCAGAGGUGCAGAGGUGUGAGGAGUCUGUCACAUUCUGGGAAGGGAGUAUGGUUGGGUGACAAUGCAAGACAGAGAAAGCAAGGAGGGAAGGAGGGGCCUAGCCUGAGGAAUAAAGAAUAAUAAAAGCAGGA
rnacentral:lncRNA from 10 species